AUUGAACGCUGGCGGCAGGCCUAACACAUGCAAGUCGAGCGGUAGCACAGGGAGCUUGCUCCUGGGUGACGAGCGGCGGACGGGUGAGUAAUGUCUGGGAAACUGCCUGAUGGAGGGGGAUAACUACUGGAAACGGUAGCUAAUACCGCAUAACGUCGCAAGACCAAAGAGGGGGACCGUCGGGCCUCUUGACAUCAGAUGUGCCCAGAUGGGAUUAGCUAGUAGGUGGGGUAACGGCUCACCUAGGCGACGAUCCCUAGCUGUUCUGAGAGGAUGACCAGCCACACUGGAACUGAGACACGGUCCAGACUCCUACGGGAGGCAGCAGUGGGGAAUAUUGCACAAUGGGCGCAAGCCUGAUGCAGCCAUGCCGCGUGUAUGAAGAAGGCCUUCGGGUUGUAAAGUACUUUCAGCGGGGAGGAAGGUGUUGAGGUUAAUAACCUCAGCAAUUGACGUUACCCGCAGAAGAAGCACCGGCUAACUCCGUGCCAGCCGCCGCUGUAA
rnacentral:rRNA from 1 species